GACGAACGCUGGCGGCGUGCUUAACACAUGCAAGUCGAACGGAAAGGCCCUGCUUUUGUGGGGUGCUCGAGUGGCGAACGGGUGAGUAACACGUGAGUAACCUGCCCUUGACUUUGGUAUAACUUCAGGAAACUGGGGCUAAUACCGGAUAGGAGCUCCUGCUGCAGGGUGGGGGUUGGAAAGUUUCGGCGGUUGAGGAUGGACUCGCGGCUUAUCAGCUUGUUGGUGGGGUAGUGGCUUACCAGGGCUUUGACGGGUAGCCGGCCUGAGAGGGUGACCGGCCACAUUGGGACUGAGAUACGGCCCAGACUCCUACGGGAGGCAGCAGUGGGGAAUAUUGCACAAUGGGCGGAAGCCUGAUGCAGCAACGCCGCGUGCGGGAUGACGGCCUUCGGGUUGUAACCCGCUUUCGCCUGUGACGAAGCGUGAGUGACGGUAAUGGGUAAAGAAGCACCGGCUAACUACGUG
rnacentral:rRNA from 1 species